AGCUCCAAUAGCAUAUAUUAAAGUUGUUGUAGUUAAAAAGCUCGUAGUUGGAUUUCUGGUGGGAGCAAUCAGUGUGACCUUAUGGUUUCAACUUGUAUUGUCUCUGGCCAUCUUUGGGGAGAGUCUGUCUGGCAUUAGGUUGUCGGGCAGUGGAUCUCCAUCUUUUACUGUGAAAAAAUGAGUGUUCAAAGCAGGCUUACGCCAAUGAAUAUAUUAGCAUGGAAUAAUCAGAUAGGACCCUGGUACUAUUUGGUUGGUUUGUGUGCCAUGGUAAUGAUUAAUAGGGACAGUUGUGGGUAUUUGUAUUGCGAUGUCAGAGGUGAAAUUCUUGGAUUUCCGCAAGACAGACAAC
rnacentral:rRNA from 1 species